AUCCUGGCUCAGGAUGAACGCUAGCGGCAGGCUUAAUACAUGCAAGUCGUGGGGCAGCAUGAGUAGCAAUACUUGAUGGCGACCGGCAAACGGGUGAGGAACACGUACACAACCUUCCUUCAAGCGGGGAAUAGCCCAGAGAAAUUUGGAUUAAUACCCCAUAAUAUAUUUGAUAAGGCAUCUUAUUAAUAUUAAAGCUUCGGCACUUGAUGAUGGGUGUGCGGCUGAUUAGAUAGUUGGCGGGGUAACGGCCCACCAAGUCUACGAUCAGUAGCUGAUGUGAGAGCAUGAUCAGCCACACGGGCACUGAGACACGGGCCCGACUCCUACGGGAGGCAGCAGUAAGGAAUAUUGGACAAUGGACGAAAGUCUGAUCCAGCCAUGCCGCGUGAAGGAUUAAGGUCCUCUGGAUUGUAAACUUCUUUUAUACGGGACGAAAAAAGGGCAUUCUUGUUCACUUGACGGUACCAUAUGAAUAAGCACCGGCUAACUCCGUG
rnacentral:rRNA from 1 species